rnacentral:lncRNA from 1 species
ACCUUUUAGUAUACUCAGAAAAAUCAUUAUUAAUAGGCUAAAUUACAAAAAAUCUUUUUGUUAAUACCUGCUUUUCUUACUUUUCUCUCCUGUCAUUCAAAAACCUACCUUACCCCCUUAAAAAAUUAAAAAUGUUCACUUUGACCUAUAUUGACCGUGUUUUGUUAGGAUUCCGUUUAUAUCCUAUCUUUAUAACCAAAAUAUCCCCGAAACCUUUCUCCUUCCUCAUCCUCAGCAGCACCGCCUCUCCCUCGCCCACCUCUCUGUCCAUGCCCACACACACGCCCUCACCUGCCUCCGCCGCCUCGCCCUCGCCCUCGCCCAUCUCUUCGUCCACACCCACCCCGAAGAAAAUAAGGGGUAAUUUAAUCAUUUUGUCGCAACGUACCCUUCUGUGAACAUUUUUUUACUUUUUUAAGAGAAUAAAAUAUAGGUUUUUGAAUGACAUAAGGGAAAAGUGAAAAAACGGAUAUUGACAGAGAGGUUUCUCUAAUUUAGCUUUAAUAAUAUGUUGAGGAAUAAUAGAAUUUU